GACUACAGCCAUGCCACCCUAAACAAGCCCGAUCCCAUCUGAUCUCAGAAGCUAAGCAGGGUCGGGCCUGGUAGUACUUAGAGGGGAGACCACCUAGGAGGACCAGGUGCUGUAGGCA
rnacentral:rRNA from 1 species